rnacentral:rRNA from 1 species
UACGUAGGGUGCGAGCGUUAAUCGGAAUUACUGGGCGUAAAGCGUACGCAGGCGGCUUUGCAAGACAGGUGUGAAAUCCCCGGGCCUAACCUGGGAACUGCAUUUGUGACUGCAUGGCUAGAGUUUGUCAGAGGGGGGUGGAAUUCCACGUGUAGCAGUGAAAUGCGUUGAUAUCAUCAGGAACACCGGAGGCGAAGGCGGCUCACUGGGGCUUUUCUGACGCUGAGGAACGAAAGCCAGGGUAGCGAACGGG